rnacentral:rRNA from 1 species
CAGCCGCCACGGGAAUACGUAGGGUGCGAGCGUUAAUCGGAAUUACUGGGCGUAAAGCGGGCGCAGACGGUUACUUAAGCAGGAUGUGAAAUCCCCGGGCUCAACCUGGGAACUGCGUUCUGAACUGGGUAACUAGAGUGUGUCAGAGGGAGGUAGAAUUCCACGUGUAGCAGUGAAAUGCGUAGAGAUGUGGAGGAAUACCGAUGGCGAAGGCAGCCUCCUGGGAUAACACUGACGUUCAUGCCCGAAAGCGUGGGUAGCAAACAGGAUUAGAUACCCCCGUAGUCCCUGUCUCUUAUAA